rnacentral:rRNA from 1 species
CCUACGGGGGGCAGCAGUGAGGAAUAUUGGUCAAUGGACGCAAGCCUGAACCAGCCAUGUAGCGUGAAGGAUGACUGCCCUACGGGUUGUAAACUUCUUUUAUAAAAGAGUAAAGUGAGGCACGCGUGCCUUUUUGUAUGUACUUUAUGAAUAAGGAUCGGCUAACUCCGUGCCAGCAGCCGCGGUAAUACGGAGGAUUCGAGCGUUAUCCGGAUUUAUUGGGUUUAAAGGGAGCGUAGAUGGGUUGUUAAGUUAGUUGUGAAAGUUCGCGGCUCAACCGUAAAAUUGCAAUUGAUACUGGUAGUCUUGAGUACAGUUGAGGUAGGCGGAAUUCGUGGUGUAGCGGUGAAAUGCUUAGAGAUCACGAAGAACUCCGAUUGCGAAGGCAGCUUACUAAGCUGCCACUGACAUUGAUGCUCGAAAGUGUGGGGAUCAAACAGGAUUAGAUACCCUUGUAGUC